UACGUAGGUGGCAAGCGUUGUCCGGAUUUACUGGGCGUAAAGAGCGCGCAGGCGGUCGUACAAGUCGCGUGUGAAAGCCCCCGGCUCAACUGGGGAGGGUCACGCGAUACUGUUCGACUCGAAGGCAGGAGAGGGUAGUGGAAUUCCCGGUGUAGUGGUGAAAUGCGUAGGUAUCGGGAGGAACACCUGUGGCGAAAGCGGCGCACUGGACCACAACUGACGCUGAGGCGCGAAAGCUAGGGGAGCAAACAGG
rnacentral:rRNA from 1 species